GGCUGAGGGGAGGCAACUGCGUUGAAGGCUACUGCCAAUUGGGGCCACUCUGAUCUCCUGUUGAGUAGGCAGGAGGAGGCUGCUGCUGAAUCUUCUUCCUGGAACUGCAGAGCUCCGCACCUGGCUGGGCCACCCAAACACCAGCUGGCUCUGAGCACAGAGCAGGGGGAGCCUGGCUUGGCAGGCAUGAGAAUAAGCUGCAGAUGCUGCUGUUUCUUCUUAGUCUCCACCCUGUCCGCGUAGCUCAGAGCCAGGAUUCCAGGCCUCUAAGAGUCACUUUGACAUUCAUAGUCUGACAAAUGGGUGUUUGUUCUGUAUGAGGACAGCUGAAACAAGAUUCAAAGCCUAGAAACCAAGAUGGAAACCUAUCAAUGUCACCUGAAUGGCAGUAUGGAUAACAGCUAGACCCCCAGAAAUGGAUAUUCCACUAACAUCAAAGGAGUAUUGAGAAUCUGUACCAGUGAUAUCGGGAUCAAUCCUGUCUUGUGCAGCACUGAUAAGAAGAUGGGCGUAAUGUUUUUGACACUACGUAAUGUUUCUAUUUGUAUGGACAACCUGUAACCUAAGAAAUACUUUUAAGCAAAGAGAGACUCAGCAAACUGGUGAACUUUACACGUGGAAUGAACUGCACCUCAACAAAUAAAAAACAUUUCUCCAAAGAUCUAGCUGCCUAUACAUUCAGUUAAACAGAAGUUGUAAGAGUAUCUGUAAUAGCGCCAUCUGAUGAAUCCCAGUAAUAUUGCAUCCCCCUUCUUGUAAACCUUGUAUCAUUAACAUAAGUUUAGCUGUAUACUGUUUUUAGCAACAUUGGGGCUCUAAUGUAGAUAGGCUCCCAUCUCUGGAAACCAUUUUUACCAUCUGUCAAACAUAUUUUUGGCAAGACUAAUUAACAGAGAGCAGAAUACAGCUGCUGGAGCUAGAAUCAUCUACACUUGGGCUCCCAAUGUUGUUAACACUGGUGCAGUUGGAUAGGUAGUAGUAAUGGUAGGAAAAAAUAUUAAAAAUUGUCUCAUGUAGAAAGUCUACAGAAGAAAAUGAAAAAUUAUCAAGUUAUCAAUGUAAACUUAAUAUGUACUGU